UGGCGGCGGCUGGCCCUGUCGCCCCUCUCCGUCACUCAGCGGAAAGCGCGGUGAUUAAUGGCCAGGCCGCGCCGCCUGUGCCGCCAUCAACGCGCGUCUAGGCGGCGACGGAUGCGGCUGUCAAGCAGGCCCGGCCCGAGCUGACCCCCCGGCCCCGGCCCGGCGCGAUCAAUGGGCAGCGCGAGGCGGGCGGCGGCUGGGCCGGCGCGAUAAGAUGGGCCGAUGGGCGUCUGCCGAUUGCCCGCUCCGUCACCCGCCGCCACCGUCACCGUCACGCCGUCCGCGCGCAGACCGGCGCCGUCAGCGCCGCGUGAUUAAUGGGGACGCGGGGAGGGCGCGUGGACUCUGCACCGAGAGGAAGAACGCGGCGGGGUCGGGCACCGCAGGGUCCCCGUGGCCAAAGGGACAGAUCGCGAGGUCCUGAGAGGCGCAACUCACAGCGCCCCCUGCGCGACGCUCGCCUUUAGCUCGCAGGCCCCGGAGCCUCAGCACUCCCGCUCAUUUGCCUGCCCGAGGUGACGCCGCCCUCCCCCUCCCCCGCAACGCCUCUUUCCUUGGGAAAAGAGCAAGCCGCCGGCCCCACCACAGACAGAGGAAGGAGCCAUAAGCCAGGUGCUAAGGGUAGGGUCGGAGGACUUCCCAGGAGGUGAUGGGAACGCACAGGAGGCCCGCCGCUCCAGACCGGGGUAGGGGGAGGGGUGCCAAGUACGCGGAAGGGGCUAGCUGGGAGCUCCAGUCGCCAGAGUACCCGAGGGGUCGCGGGCGAGACAAGGGGAAGUGUAAGGGGUCUGGCUGGAGCCGAUCCGGUGAGCUGUGGGGUCUCACGCAAUUCGCAGCAGGGGCAGGACCACUCCCUUUCCUUUUCCGGUCCGGGAGGUCGCGGCACCUCCCUGAACUCCCCAGCUGCUGCGCCGCGCUGGUGAUUGUGAGGCCACAGCGUCCCCGCGCGGACAGACGCGCACAGCGACGGCCCCACCCCGCGCCCCGGCCCGGCCCAGUCCUCCUCUUGGGCUCCGCCCCACCUCCCUGCCGGGGGUGUGGCCAAGCCUGGAGUGAGAUCCGGAGUCUGAGCCACAGUCCGGGUUCACUUCCUAGCAGUGGAGGUGGUGGAGGGGCAGGGAGGGAGCGUACGUCCCAACGUGCCUGUGGGAAAAGAGCAGUCAGGGAAAGCUUCCAGAGCUGGGUUAAUU